GUCAGUUUGAUGCGCAGGGGGAAGCUCUUGCCGUAGAAGAGGCUCUGGAUGGCCACGAUGGCCGGCGUGGUCAUGGCCUUGGCCAGCUGGCACUAGAAUGGAUGCAGUAUUCCAACAGUGAUUGCACCAUUGCCAAACAGGUCAUUGAUUGAAAACAUUAAAUAGCAUCGGACCAAGUACCAAUCCCUGAGAGAUCCAACUGUAAAUACAUCUGCUUGAUGGCAAUUUCCCAUUUACAAUUAAAUUACAAUCAGUUUUUAAUCCA